rnacentral:rRNA from 1 species
GUUGUUUAGUUGAAAAUCAAUUAAAUAAUUUUUGAUUUUGAGUAGUAUUGACUUCAUCAGCUUGCUGCUUUCUUUUCGGAAAUUAUUUAAUGCACUUUUCAGUUAACAAGUCAACAUCAAUUUCUUUUGUUGUAAAAGGGUAAGAGGAAGGUGGCUUACAUUUCGGUGUAAGUGUUUAUAGCCUUUUACCUCUGCAAUCGGAGAGAUUGAGGUCAGCAGCGUAGACUCUUCGGGGUUAGAUACACUUGUGCUAAGCUAUAGCCUUGUAUAGACAACUUGUUGACUAUGCUCAGUCAUGUAGCUUACUCGCUUGUAGUAUUUUACCUAC